rnacentral:rRNA from 1 species
UACGUAGGCAGCAAGCGUUGUUCGGAAUUACUGGGCGUAAAGAGUGCGUAGGCGGUUGGCUAAGUUUGGUGUGAAAUCUCCCGGCUUAACUGGGAGGGUGCGCCGAAAACUGGCUAGCUAGAGUGCGGGAGAGGAUAGUGGAAUUCCUGGUGUAGCGGUGAAAUGCGUAGAUAUCAGGAGGAACACCUGAGGUGUAGACGGCUGUCUGGACCGUAACUGACGCUGAGGCACGAAAGCGUGGGGAGCAAACAGG